rnacentral:rRNA from 1 species
UGCCCCAUAGUCUGGGAUACCACUUGGAAACAGGUGCUAAUACCGGAUAAGAAAGCGGAUCGCAUGAUCAGCUUUUAAAAGGCGGCGUAAGCUGUCGCUAUGGGAUGGCCCCGCGGUGCAUUAGCUAGUUGGUAAGGUAAAGGCUUACCAAGGCGAUGAUGCAUAGCCGAGUUGAGAGACUGAUCGGCCACAUUGGGACUGAGACACGGCCCAAACUCCUACGGGAGGCAGCAGGA